rnacentral:rRNA from 2 species
GUCAUAUGCUUGUCUCAAAGAUUAAGCCAUGCAUGUCUCAGUACAAGCCAAAUUAAGGUGAAACCGCGAAAGGCUCAUUAAAUCAGUUAUGGUUCCUUAGAUCGUACCCACAAUUACUUGGAUAACUGUGGUAAUUCUAGAGCUAAUACAUGCAAACAGAGCUCCGACCGGAGACGGAAGGAGUGCUUUUAUUAGAUCAAAACCAAUCGGUGGCGGGUUCGCUCGUCAUCGUACAACAUGGUGACUCUGAAUAACUUUAGGCUGAUCGCACGGUCAUCGCACCGGCGACGCAUCUUUCAAAUGUCUGCCUUAUCAACUGUCGAUGGUAGGUUCUGCGCCUACCAUGGUUGUAACGGGUAACGGGGAAUCAGGGUUCGAUUCCGGAGAGGGAGCCUGAGAAACGGCUACCACAUCCAAGGAAGGCAGCAGGCGCGCAAAUUACCCACUCCCGGCACGGGGAGGUAGUGACGAAAAAUAACGAUACGGGACUCAUCCGAGGCCCCGUAAUCGGAAUGAGUACACUCUAAACCCUUUAACGAGGAUCAAUUGGAGGGCAAGUCUGGUGCCAGCAGCCGCGGUAAUUCCAGCUCCAAUAGCGUAUAUUAAAGUUGUUGCGGUUAAAAAGCUCGUAGUCGAAUUUGUGUCUCGCGCCGCCGGUUCAUCGUCCGCGGUGUUAACUGGCGAGUCGCGAGACGUCCUGCCGGUGGGCUUAGCUCGCGAGGGCGGCCCAACUCAAUCCUGCCGCGGUGCUCUUCAUUGAGUGUCGAGGUGGGCCGGCACGUUUACUUUGAACAAAUUAGAGUGCUUAAAGCAGGCUAAAACUUCGCCUGAAUACUGUGUGCAUGGAAUAAUGGAAUAGGACCUCGGUUCUAUUUUGUUGGUUUUCGGAACCCCGAGGUAAUGAUUAAUAGGAACGGAUGGGGGCAUUCGUAUUGCGACGUUAGAGGUGAAAUUCUUGGAUCGUCGC